rnacentral:rRNA from 1 species
AAUGAACGCUGGCGGCAUGCCUUACACAUGCCAGUCGAACGGCAGCAUGACCUAGCUUGCUAGGUUGAUGGCGAGUGGCGAACGGGUGAGUAAUGCAUCGGAACGUGCCUUUUAGUGGGGGAUAACGUAGCGAAAGUUACGCUAAUACCGCAUAUUCUCUGAGGAGGAAAGCAGGGGACCUUCGGGCCUUGCGCUAGAAGAGCGGCCAAUGUCGGAUUAGCUAGUUGGUGAGGUAAAGGCUCACCAAGGCAACGAUCCGUAGCGGGUCUGAGAGGAUGAUCCGCCACACUGGGACUGAGACACGGCCCAGACUCCUACGGGAGGCAGCAGUGGGGAAUUUUGGACAAUGGGCGCAAGCCUGAUCCAGCCAUGCCGCGUGAGUGAAGAAGGCCUUCGGGUUGUAAAGCUCUUUCGGCUGGGAAGAAAUCGCACCCUCUAAUACAGGGUGUGGAUGACGGUACCAGCAGAAGAAGCACCGGCUAACUACGUG